GGGUUGUGAGGUUAAGCGAAUAAGCGUACACGGUGGAUGCCUAGGCAAUCAGAGGCGAUGAAGGACGUGCUAAUCUGCGAAAAGCGUCGGUAAGGUGAUAUGAACCGUUAUACCCGACGAUAUCCGAAUGGGGAAACCCAGUAUCCAAUGGAUACUAUCAUUAACUGAAUCCAUAGGUUAAUGAGGCGAACCGGGAGAACUGAAACAUCUCAGUACCCCGAGGAAAAGAAAUCAACCGAGAUUCCCCUAGUAGCGGCGAGCGAACGGGGAGCAGCCCAGAGUCUUAAUCAAUAGCAGUGUCAGGAGAACGGUCUGGAAAGUCCGGCAGUAAAGGGUGAUAGCCCCGUAUCUGAAGAUGCUGUUAUUGUGAACUCGACGAGUAGGGCGGGACACGUGUUAUCCUGUCUGAAUAUGGGGGGACCAUCCUCCAAGGCUAAAUACUCCUGAUUGACCGAUAGUGAACCAGUACCGUGAGGGAAAGGCGAAAAGAACCCCGGCGAGGGGAGUGAAAAAGAACCUGAAACCGUGUACGUACAAGCAGUAGGAGCCUCUUUAUGGGGUGACUGCGUACCUUUUGUAUAAUGGGUCAGCGACUUAUAUUCUGUAGCAAGGUUAACCGUAUAGGGGAGCCGUAGGGAAACCGAGUCUUAACUGGGCGAAUGAGUUGCAGGGUAUAGACCCGAAACCCGGUGAUCUAUCCAUGGGCAGGUUGAAGGUUGGGUAACACUAACUGGAGGACCGAACCGACUAAUGUUGAAAAAUUAGCGGAUGACUUGUGGAUGGGGGUGAAAGGCCAAUCAAACCGGGAGAUAGCUGGUUCUCCCCGAAAGCUAUUUAGGUAGCGCCUCGUGAACUCAUCUUCGGGGGUAGAGCACUGUUUCGACUAGGGGGUCAUCCCGACUUACCAACUCGAUGCAAACUGCGAAUACCGAAGAAUGUUAUCACGGGAGACACACGGCGGGUGCUAACGUCCGUCGUGAAGAGGGAAACAACCCAGACCGCCAGCUAAGGUCCCAAAGUCAUGGUUAAGUGGGAAACGAAGUGGGAAGGCUCAGACAGCCAGGAUGUUGGCUUAGAAGCAGCCAUCAUUUAAAGAAAGCGUAAUAGCUCACUGGUCGAGUCGGCCCGCGCGGAAGAUGUAACGGGGCUAAACCAUGCACCGAAGCUGCGGCAGCGACACAUAGUGUUGUUGGGUAGGGGAGCGUUCUGUAAGCCUGCGAAGGUGUACUGUGAGGUAUGCUGGAGGUAUCAGAAGUGCGAAUGCUGACAUAAGUAACGAUAAUGCGGGUGAAAAACCCGCACGCCGGAAGACCAAGGGUUCCUGUCCAACGUUAAUCGGGGCAGGGUGAGUCGACCCCUAAGGCGAGGCUGAAAAGCGUAGUCGAUGGGAAACGGGUUAAUAUUCCCGUACUGGUGGUAACUGCGAUGGGGGAACGGAGAAGGCUAGGUUGUCCGGGCGACGGUCGUCCCGGUUCAAGCAGGUAGGCAGAGUGAUUAGGCAAAUCCGGUCACUUAAUGCUGAGAUGUGAUGACGAACCACCAAGGUGGUGAAGCAAUUGAUGCCCCGCUUCCAGGAAAAGCCUCUAAGCUUCAGGUUACCAACAAUCGUACCCCAAACCGACACAGGUGGUCAGGUAGAGAAUACUCAGGCGCUUGAGAGAACUCGGGUGAAGGAACUAGGCAAAAUGGUGCCGUAACUUCGGGAGAAGGCACGCUGGCGGUAGGUAAAGUCCCUCGCGGACGGCGCCCAAGCCAGUCGAAGAUACCAGCUGGCUGCAACUGUUUAUUAAAAACACAGCACUGUGCAAACACGAAAGUGGACGUAUACGGUGUGACGCCUGCCCGGUGCUGGAAGGUUAAUUGAUGGGGUCAGCCGUAAGGCGAAGCUCCUGAUCGAAGCCCCAGUAAACGGCGGCCGUAACUAUAACGGUCCUAAGGUAGCGAAAUUCCUUGUCGGGUAAGUUCCGACCUGCACGAAUGGCGUAAUGAUGGCCAGGCUGUCUCCACCCGAGACUCAGUGAAAUUGAACUCGCUGUGAAGAUGCAGUGUACCCGCGGCAAGACGGAAAGACCCCGUGAACCUUUACUAUAGCUUGACACUGAACAUUGAGCCUUGAUGUGUAGGAUAGGUGGGAGGCUUUGAAGUGUGGACGCCAGUCUGCAUGGAGCCAACCUUGAAAUACCACCCUUUAACGUUUGAUGUUCUAACCUAGGCCCAUAAACUGGGUCGGGGACCGUGUCUGGUGGGUAGUUUGACUGGGGCGGUCUCCUCCUAAAGAGUAACGGAGGAGCACGAAGGUUGGCUAAGCAUGGUCGGACAUCAUGCGGUUAGUGCAAAGGCAUAAGCCAGCUUGACUGCGAGAGUGACGGCUCGAGCAGGUACGAAAGUAGGUCUUAGUGAUCCGGUGGUUCUGAAUGGAAGGGCCAUCGCUCAACGGAUAAAAGGUACUCCGGGGAUAACAGGCUGAUACCGCCCAAGAGUUCAUAUCGACGGCGGUGUUUGGCACCUCGAUGUCGGCUCAUCACAUCCUGGGGCUGAAGUAGGUCCCAAGGGUAUGGCUGUUCGCCAUUUAAAGUGGUACGCGAGCUGGGUUUAGAACGUCGUGAGACAGUUCGGUCCCUAUCUGCCGUGGGCGUUGGAAGAUUGAGAGGGGUUGCUCCUAGUACGAGAGGACCGGAGUGAACGCACCACUGGUGUUCGGGUUGUCAUGCCAAUGGCAUUGCCCGGUAGCUAAGUGCGGAAGAGAUAACCGCUGAAAGCAUCUAAGCGGGAAACUUGCCUCGAGAUGAGUCUUCCCUGUCGCUUUAAGCGACCUAAAGGAACGUUUAAGACUAAGACGUUGAUAGGCUGGGUGUGUAAGCGUAGCGAUACGUUGAGCUAACCAGUACUAAUGAACCGUGAGGCUUAACCUGACAACACCGAAAGUGUUUUG
rnacentral:rRNA from 1 species